rnacentral:rRNA from 1 species
AUUGAACGCUGGCGGCAGGCCUAACACAUGCAAGUCGAGCGGAGCGGCGGACGGGUGCGUAAUGCCUAGGAAUCUGCCUGGGCGUGGGGGAUAACGACCGGAAACGGGCACUAAUACCGCAUACUCUCAGCAGAGCCUAGGUCGGUGUAGCUAGAUGGUGGGGUAAAGGCCUACCACGGCGACGAUCCGUAACUGGUAUGAGAGGAUGAUCAGUCACACUGGAACUGAGACACGGUCCAGACUCCUACGGGAGGCAGCAGGGGGGAAUAUUGGACAAUGGGCGAAAGCCUGAUCCAGCCAUGCCGCGUGUGUGAAGAAGGUCUUCGGAUUGUAAAGCACUUUCAGUCGGGAGGCGUGACCGACAGAAGAAGCACCGGCUAACUUCGUGCCAGCCGCCGCGGUAAUAC